rnacentral:lncRNA from 1 species
CCAGCGUCUCGCGAUCUGGUUACACAGGGCGUUUCUGCUCUGCCUUAUGUUUUUCAGAUACAAAGGGGACACCUGAGAAGACCGGAAAAUAACAGAAAGGGGCCCGGGAUGAAGACAUUCUGGGAAGGAAAUACCAAACAAGAGUUCCAUAGAGGAUUCUUCAGAAACCAUGUGAGCUGCAAGUGUCCCAGAUUCCAGGGAUGGGGGCGUGCUCAGACCAGCCACGCGGCUGUGGCUGUGACCGUGUGCCCAUUCACACCACCCCCUCGGGCCUCUUCCUCCUAACAGGAGCUCUCAAAAUCGGCGCUGGUGUGGAGAUGAGCCCUGCCUUGGGGACCACUGACCCGACCACGUCCCAAAGAUCAUUAACAUGGAUUCCAGGAAAUGAAAACUUUCGCUUAUUGCCCAGGCUGGAGUGUAAUGGCACAAUCUCGGUUCACUGCAACCUCCGCCUCCCGGGUUCAAGCGAUUCUCCUGCCUCAGCCUCCUGAGAAGCUGAGAUUACAGGUUUUUGCUUUUGCCAAUCCCCUCCCUCACAUGCCUUGAAACAAGCACUUUCAAAGACAAAGACAUAAACAACAAAAGGGUGCAGGCUGAGGUGGGUCAUCUUCUCUGCCUGCGUCUCCAACUCUGGAUCCUGCAGUUACUGGACUCAGGCCAUGGCUGACUCCUUCAUCACAGCUAAGAUGCUGCUGGGUUUAAGGCACUGUGACUUUCUGUGCCACUAAGACCGACAAAAAGCUGCCAAGUGAACGAUGACACAAAGAAAGACACAAACUGUGGGACCCAGCCCAACUUCAGAGCUGCUAAAAUGUGAACAAAAAUGCAUCCCGGAAUGGAUGGAAACCGAUCAUUCUAGUUGGUGUGACCUGCUCCAGUGCCUACAGUACGUGUCCUGACAGCGUGGGAGGGGAUAUGAAGGCCCCCCAGUCAAACAGGAGACAGCGUUAGUCUCCAAACUUAACUUUGUUAUCUCUUUCCCUCCUGGGGCCCAAUACCCGCCAGCCAGGACCUGUUUCUCCUCCAUCUCACAUUCUUUCCAGGUUCAGGACUGAAGUCGUCUUGUUCAGCUCCUUGACUUGGCCAUGCUCACUCUACAAUGCAGCCCAUGGAUGGCGCCCCCUCUGCCCAGCACAUCCCUCUGCCUGGGCUCUUGUCUCCCCGAAUCCUGCAAACCCCAGCCCCAGCCUUUAGCGUUCAGCCGCCCUCCCCGCUUCCCUCAUCCUCCCUCGCGUCCUCGCAGUGAGAUUUCAACAUGUCAUCUCAGUUUUUUUGUUCUUUUACUUUCCUGACUACAAGAAAAAUAAAAUAAUCUGUCUUAAAGUGUAGCAUGAGGCC